AGCGAACGCUGGCGGCAGGCCUAACACAUGCAAGUCGAACGAACUCUUCGGAGUUAGUGGCGGACGGGUGAGUAACACGUGGGAACGGGCCUUUAGGUUCGGAAUAACUCAGGGAAACUUGUGCUAAUACCGAAUGUGCCCUUCGGGGGAAAGGUUUAUCGCCUUUAGAGCGGCCCGCGUCUGAUUAGCUAAUUUGUGAGGUAAAGGCUCACCAGGGCGACAAUCAGUAGCUGGUCUGAGAGGAUGAUCAGCCACAUUGGGACUGAGACACGGCCCAAACUCAUACGUGAGGCAGAAGUGGGGAAUUUUGCGCAAUGGGCGAAAGCCUGACGGGGCCAUGCCGCGUGAAUGAUGAAGGUCUUAGGAUUGUAAAAUUCUUUCACCGGGGACGAUUAUGACGGUACCCGGAGAAGAAGCCCCGGCUAACUUCGUGCCAGCCGCCGCAGUAA
rnacentral:rRNA from 1 species